rnacentral:rRNA from 1 species
UACGUAGGGGGCAAGCGUUGUCCGGAAUCAUUGGGCGUAAAGAGCGUGUAGGCGGCCUGGUAAGUCCGCUGUGAAAGUCCAGGGCUCAACCCUGGAAUGCCGGUGGAAACUGUCAGGCUCGAGUCCGGAAGAGGCGAGUGGAAUUCCUGGUGUAGCGGUGAAAUGCGCAGAUAUCAGGAGGAACACCAAUGGCGAAGGCAGCUCGCUGGGACGGUACUGACGCUGAGACGCGAAAGCUGGGGAGCAAACAGG